rnacentral:snRNA from 1 species
AUAUUGUCCUCAGAUAGAGGACGUAUCGGAUAUUAAACUAAUAGGUAGGACAAUAUGUUAAAUGGAUUUUUGGAGCAGGGAGAUGGAAUAGGAGCUUACUCCAUCCACUCCACGCAUCGACCUGGUAUUGCAGUACUGCCAGGAACGGUGCACCCCCU